rnacentral:rRNA from 1 species
CCUACGGGUGGCAGCAGUGGGGAAUAUUGGACAAUGGGCGGAAGCCUGAUCCAGCAAUACCGCGUGUGUGAAGAAGGCCUGAGGGUUGUAAAGCACUUUCAAUAGGAAGGAAUACCUAUCCAUUAAUACUGGGUAGACUGACAUUACCUAUACAAGAAGCACCGGCUAACUCCGUGCCAGCAGCCGCGGUAAUACGGAGGGUGCAAGCGUUAAUCUGAAGUACUGGGCGUAAAGCGGUUAAAUCCGACUCGAAAGCCCUGGGCUUAACCUGGGAAUGGCAUUUGAUACUGGCGAGCUAGAGUUGAGUAGAGGGGAGUGGAAUUUCAGGUGUAGCGGUGAAAUGCGUAGAGAUCUGAAGGAACACCAGUGGCGAAGGCGACUCCCUGGACUCAAACUGACGCUGAGGUACGAAAGCGUGGGUAGCAAACAGGAUUAGAUACCCUUGUAGUC